rnacentral:lncRNA from 1 species
UUACUUCCAUUCAAAUCAUGCAAUUUAUAGUCCAAAACAAGGGCAAAAGAGUUUGGAAAAGUAGAUACGUCGGAGACAUAUCAACUGCUCGUGGAUUCGCCUCCGAACAUGAGCGAUCGAGCAAUGAGCAGCGCUCGUGGACUUUGCCCACUGUACACCAAACUCGAGCUAUAAAACAGCAGUGUUGUUCCUGUUUUCUACCUCACACCCUGCCUCACUCCUCCUCCUUCAUCCUUCUAAUUUCUGCCAGCAAG